rnacentral:rRNA from 1 species
AGCGAACGCUGGCGGCAGGCCUAAUACAUGCAAGUCGAGCGGGUCCUUCGGGAUUAGCGGCGGACGGGUGAGUAACGCGUGGGAACGUGCCCUUUGGUACGGAACAACUGAGGGAAACUUCAGCUAAUACCGUAUGUGCCCUUCGGGGAAAGAUUUAUCGCCAUUGGAGCGGCCCGCGUUGGAUUAGGUAGUUGGUGAGGUAAAGGCUCACCAAGCCUACGAUCCAUAGCUGGUCUGAGAGGAUGACCAGCCACACUGGGACUGAGUCACGGCCCAGACUCCUACGGGAGGCAGCAGUAGGGAAUCUUGCGCAAUGGGCGAAAGCCUGACGCAGCCAUGCCGCGUGAAUGAUGAAGGUCUUAGGAUUGUAAAAUUCUUUCACCGGGGACGAUAAUGACGGUACCCGGAGAAGAAGCCCCGGCUAACUUCGUGCCAGCAGCCGCGGUAAU